rnacentral:rRNA from 1 species
CCUACGGGAGGCAGCAGCGAGGAAUCUUCCACAAUGGGCGAAAGCCCGAUGGAGCAACGCCGCGUGGAGGACGACGGCCUUCGGGUUGUAAACUCCUUUCGGGGGGGAUGAUUUGGACAGUACCCCCAGAAGCAGCCCCGGCUAACUCUGUGCCAGCAGCCGCGGUAAUACAGAGGGGGCAAGCGUUGUCCGGACUUACCGGGCGUACAGCGCGCGCAGGCGGAGGCGGACGUGCCGUGUGACAGACCAGUGCUCACCACUGGAGGGCCACGGUACACGACGUGUCUAGAGGCAGGGAGAGGGAUGUGGAAUGCCCGGUGGAGCGGUGAAAUGCGUUGAGAUCGGGCGGAACACCAGCGGCGAAGGCGGCAUCCUGGUCCUGUACUGACGCUGAGGCGCGAGAGCGUGGGGAGCGAACUGGAUUAGAUACCCAGGUAGUCCACGCCGUAAACGAUGUGUACCCGGCGCUGGGGAGUGAUUGCGCUCCUCGGUGCCUCAGCUUACGCAGUGAGUACACCGCCUGGGGACUACGGCCGCAAGGCUAAAACUCAAAGGAAUUGACGGGGGCCCGCACAAGCAGCGGAGCGUGUGGUUUAAUUCGACGCAACACGCAGAACCUUACCUAGGCUUGACAUGAUGCUGCAAGACGCGGAAACGCGUUUCCUUCGAGGGUGCAUCACCGGUGCUGCAUGGCUGUCGUCAGCUCGUGUCGUGAGAUGUUGGGUUAAGUCCCGCAACGAGCGCAACCCUUGCCUCAUGUUACCUGUGUCAUGAGGGACUGCCGGUGGGUUCCACCGGAGGAAGGCGGGGAUGACGUCAAGUCCGCAUGGCCCCUACGCCUAGGGCGACACACACGCUACAUGGCCGGCGGAAUGCGCAGCGACCUGCACAGGAGCUAAUCGCGAAGGUCGGUCUCAGUUCAGAUUGAGGGCCGCACUUGCCCUCAUGAGCGAGUGCUAGUACGCGUGUCAGCAGAGCGCGGUGAUACGUUCCCGGG